CUUCAUCAGUCACAUUUGCACCAAAGCAGUUAAUAGGCCUUGAUUGAGCAGCAAGCUCCUGAAACCUAUUGCUGUAGUUCGGUAAAAACAAUACAAAUCUCUAAUUCAGAAAAGUGCUGUAAGUGUGGGCUCGUCAUCAGCAGUGGGAGCUGGGGUUAAACCUUUAAAAGAGCAUGUGUGUGUGUAGGUUUUUCACCUGGUGGCUGGAAGGUGAGAAUUUGUGGCGGUGGCUUCUGUUCGUUGUCAGGGGACGGCGUGAGAAGAGGCGGAGUGUGGAAAGCCAGAAGGCGUGUGCCUCGAAGGAGCCCUCGUGCCUGCAGGAUUUGACCGCUCAACGCCACGGGAGCAAAUGAGGCCCCCCAGGGACCCGGACAGGCACGGUCACGGGAUGGCUCGCUCCCCAGCGAGCCCAGGGCAGCCUCAGACACCCAGCUCCACACGGCCUCCCAACGGCUCCUGCCAGCCCACCGACGUGCCGCGGCAGGAGCACACCAGCCCCUUCCCCGCUCUACCUGGAGACACGGGGGGGUCCCGGGCGCUCCGGAGCGCUGCAGUGCGACAUGGGCCACAACUAAGGCAGGCACGUGAAUCCCCUUAAACUCCUCACUUGAUGCCUCAUACGCUGUCACUCUUUGCAAAGCCAGUCGUGAAGCUUUUUUGUCCAAAGCAAUUCAUUAUAAACUCCGUAAUUCUUUAAAAACUUCGAUGCUGUGA